rnacentral:rRNA from 1 species
GGUUUGAUCAUGGCUCAGAUUGAACGCUGGCGGGAUGCUUUACACAUGCCAGGUCAGGGCGGCAGCACGGACUUCGGUCUGGUGGCGAGUGGCGAACGGGUGGUAAUGUAUCGGAACGUGCCUAGUAGCGGGGGAUAACUACGCGAAAGCGUAGCUAAUACCGCAUACGCCCUUCGGGGAAAGCGGGGGACCUUCGGGCCUCGCACUGAUUAGAGCAGCCGAUAUCGGAUUAGCUAGUUGGUGGAGUAACGGCUCGCAAGGCGACGAUCCGUAGCUGGUUUUGAAGGACGACCAGCCACACUGGGACUGAGACACGGCCCAGACUCCUACAGGAGGAGGCAGCAGUGGGGAAUUUUGGACAAUGGGGAAACCCUGAUCCAGCCAUCCGCGUGUGCGAUAGAAGGCCUUCAGGUUGUAAGCACUUUUGGCGGAAAAAACGGCACAGGAUAAUACCCCGUGCAACACAGUAACCUGCAGAAUGGCACCGGCUAACUACAUGCUGCAGUGCUGUGGGUCCUGGCGUUAAUCCGGAAUUACUGGGCGUAAAGCGUGCGCAGGCGGUUCCGGAAAGAAAGAUGUGAAAUCCCAGAGCUUAACUUUGGAACUACAUUUUUACUACCGAGCUAGAGUGUGUCAGAGGGAGGUGGAACUGCGCGUGCUAACGCGAGUGAAAUGUGAUGCUGGGAGGAACACCGGAAACAGCGAAGAAAACUCCUGGGAUAACACUGACAUAUGCGGCGUGGGGGAGCAAACAGGAUUAGAUACCCUGGUAGUCCACGCCCUAAACGAUGUCAACUGGGCCUUCGGGCCUUGGUAGCGCAGCUAACGCGUAGAAGUUGACCACUUUAAGAGAACACCACGAUCACCAGACAAACUCAAAGAGAUUGACGGGGACCCGCACAAGCGGUGGAUGAUGUGGAUUAAUUCGAUGCAACGCGAAAAACCUUACCUACUGCCUUGACAUGUCUGGAAUCCCGAAAAAGUUUGCAGGGUGCUCGCAAGAGAACCGGAACACAGGUGCUGCAUGGCUGUCGUCAGCUCGUGUCGUGAGAUGUUGGGUUAGAAUCCCACAACGAGCGCAACCCUUGUCAUUAGUUGCUACGAAAGGCAUACAAUGAGACUGCCGGUGACAAACCGGAGGAGGUGGGGAUGACGUCAAGUCCUCAUGGCCCUUAUGGGUAAGGGCUUCACACGUCAUACAAUGGCAGACAGGUCGGGACAGAGGGUCGCCAGCCCGCGAGGGGAACACCGUCCCAGAAACCGAUCGUAGUCCGGAUCGCAGUCUGCAACUCGACUGCGUGAAGUCAGAAUCGCUAGUAAUCGCGGAUCAGCAUGUCGCGGUGAAUACGUUCCCGGGUCUUGUACACACCGCCCGUCACACCGCAGGGUGGGUUUUACCAGAAGUAGUUAGCGCCAGCCCUAACCGUAAGGAGGGCGAUUACCACGGUAGGAUUCAUGACUGGGGUGAAGUCGUAACAAGAU